UUGAAAGGUGGUGGUGCGCCGUGCGACCGUCUGUUUGUAAAGAAAGACAUUGGUAUAUUCUUCUAGUCGCAGGAGUACAAGCGUCUGCGAGAGACUGAGGUAGCGGAGCGGGUCAAGCCUAAGAACAUCGUCUGCGUCACCAGGCAGUGGCAAUGAGGAAGAAGCGCCCGUGUGUGUCAAGAGCCUCCUCAUGCUGUUCGUGUGUGGCGCGUGUUGCUGACACAUACCGGUGUUUGCCCGUGCGAGUGAGGUACGUAUUGUGUGGAGCUUCCCCAUCCACCACGAGACUCUCUUCCUUCAACUGUGCGUGGUCCGUCAGGUGCCACAACCCUCCUGGAUGAAUGAUACCUGUGGAAGAGAAGGGAGGAUCAGCUCUACGAAUUGUCUAGCUUUUAUAUACACAUGUAACCAAAGUUUACUACCAUGUAUAUAUAUGUCUAAGGAACAAAUAAACUUCAGGGACACCCAA